GAGUUUACCACAUUUUGCAACAUCUAACAAUUUCUUUAUGACACAACCCUAGGCAGCGGAGCAACUUAGAGCGGGUUAAGAGAUGCCUUUACCUAAUCUACAAUGGACCGUAUGCACCGAUGAAUACACGCUAGGCUGAUCCCUAUCUACAAAAAGGGAAAAUAAGAGGGGUGUGAGUCUCACAGACUCAGUGAUCAUCGACCCCAUGAGUAGGCGAGGAAAGGAAACAAACAUAAAUAUGGGAUAUUUAUAAAACCAAGAGUAGGCGUAGAAAACACAUUCCAUUAAACUGAGAGAUUUUGUUUUUAUACCUUGCAAGUCUUAAGAAUAAUAAAUCACAAGUAAACAUAUAUGAAAACGGUUAUAUUUAAGGUACUAAAAAAAAUCUUUAAAUUUUGAUAUUCAGUCAAUAGUAAAUCCAAUGGCAAGUGUAGAAUGAAGAAUCUCAAACAUAAAAAAAUGCGAAAUAAUUGAUCACCAAUAAAUAUGUAAAUUUCACUUGCCAUUCAAUGGUAAAUUUCAAGUGUUAAUGCCAUGCACUGUGUAAUAAAAAUCCACAAGUAAGCAUCAUCCUCGAGUAGGUUUAGUAUAACCCUUAGGCUUACUCUCUCAAACAUCAUCAUCUACUCGUGGGAACUGCCCACGCCAUUAUAUAUAAAUUGAGGCUUCAGGUCCCCUUUUUACCUACUCGUGAGAACUACCCACGCCACUCAAUAUGAAUCGGGGCUUUAGGUCCCCCUUUACCUACUCGUGGGAACUACCCACGCCACAUAAUAUGAAUCGGGGCUUCAUGUCCCCCUUUUACAAUCAAAUAACAAUACUCAACAAUUACUACUUUGUGCACAAAGACCACACUUAACCUAUUGUGGUAACAGGUCCUACCCAAAGUAUCUCAAUCACGUUAAAAUAAAAAUCAUUGCAAUUUAAUGCAUUUGUAAAACAUGACAGAUCAAAAGCAAUAUAAUCAUAAAUUGAAUGUUAUACAUAAUUUAUUUCAAAACAUGGCAUAUCCAUCAAAUCAGCAUGUUAAGUGAAAUCAAUAAAUUUUUUAUCAAAUCCCAUGAAUCAAAUAAUGACCAUUGGCCCAAACAUCACACAAGCUUGUAAGGUAUGAUUUUGAAGCGAAAAGCCAGUCAAAGGUUUGUUUCCCCGUAAUUAAAAUCUUGUAGAUAUAUACUUAUAUAUAAUAUAUAAAAAAACGAAUUUAAAAUCCUUGAUUGCAAUCACAAACAACCUAAGGCUUUCUACCAACUCAUGCUUUCCACAAUUUCGUGAACCAUCAAAGGUAAUAUAUAUAAUAUAUUUACAAGGAUAUAGUUUUUUGAAAUUUAGCACCCAUUUACCUCACAAUAGCAGGACGUUACUUCGCUAUUGGUUUAUGCGUGUAUCUAGCUAUUCUCUCUUCCUUUCCCAUUUCUUUCUUUCCCUUUCCUGCUCCUCUUUUUUUUUUUUUUUCCUCUUUCUCUUCCUCUCUUUUCUCCCCUUGUUGUCGGCCUUACUCCCAGCCGACGUUUCUCUUCUACUUCUUUUUCUUCUUUCUUCUCUCUCCUCUUUUUACUUUGGCACCACCGCUUCCCCUUUUUCUUCCUUCUUCAUUUUCUUCUCUUUUUUUCUUCUUUCUUCUUUCUCUCCUCCGGCACGUCGCUACUUUCCCUCUCUCUUAAAAUUCUACUUUUUCUCUCUUUUAUGCCUGACACCUUUCUUUUCUUUCUUUUUCCCUUUCCUUUCCUUCUUGUUCAAUUGGCUGGCCCCAUCAUCAUUAUUUCUUCUCCCUUUUAUUGCUAUUUUAUUAUUUUAUAUUUUUUUUCUCACUUGGCCCGCCCCAUCUUUCCUUCCUUUCGUACAGGGUGUUACAAUCAUCAUCAAGAUGGGUCGAGCAAACAAAAGGACACGGGAAAAGAAACAUAGGAAAAUGAUCAAUCAUGCCCAAGCCCACCUGAGGAGGAAUCUAAAUCCAUCAAGCAUGCGGCCUGCCCAAACUUAGCACAAACCUUCCCCAAACCUAUCACAAAGACCCUAGUCAACACGCCAUGCGACUAAUUAAAUAGCUAAUUAAAUGUCAAUUUUUGGGAUCGCCAUAUGUCACCUUAAGGGAGUCUUGGGCUUACUUUUAUAUAGAACUAGAGUUAUGAUCCGUGCGUUACACACAGGUCAAGAAUCCAUCUGUCAAAAGAUGAGAAGCCAACAAACCUAUGAUACAACCCCUCUGACUCCCAACCCAUCACAUGUCAGGCCCCCAACUUAAUCUUCAAGAGCUUUAAAACCCUUUUUUCAAGUUUCAAUGUGGAUACUCUAUUAAUUGACUUAUAGCAAAUAGGCUUCUUUUUAAGUAUGUUAUAUAUUCAUAUUUUUUUACUUAUCUUAUCUUCCUAAAAUUGGUAAUUAUAAUGUUUUAGGAAAAUAAAAUAAAAAAUUUAUAUUUUUAAUUAUUAUCUACAAUCUUAUCCAUAUAUGUCUAUUUUAUAAAUAUAAAUGCAAUGUUUUACUAAUUAUAUAUAAAAGAAUAUAGAUUUUAAAAUCAUUCCCAACAUUUGUAUAUUAGCAAUUAACAUAAAAUAAACAUAUUUACUUUUUAUUCGUAUUAAUCAAAUUAUUGUUGAUAUAUUCUUUCAAUUUAUUCAUUAUCUUGUAACCUAUGAAAUUACUAUUUACCCAAUUGCAUAUCAUUUUUAUUUUUUUAUAAAAUCAUUAUCCUCUAAAACUAAUGAAAACAUUUUUCACCUACUUUACCAAUCACCUAUAUAUUUUAUUUUCUUUUCUUUUUCUUUAUUCCAUGUUUGUACUCUAUUUACUACACCAAUAAUUUAAUUAUUUUUUAUAUUCAAGGUUUUAAAUAAAACAAAAGAAAGAAAGAGUAGAAUAAAUACAACAAAUCAAAUAAUAAAAAAUCAUCAAAAUAUUUUUUUGACCUAAUAUUCUAAUUACCUGUGUUCUUUUCCUUUACUUACCUCUCUUUUCUUUCUUUUUCUCUCAAUCCAAAUGGCCCAUCAGCACAAAACCAACCUAGCAUUGUAAGGCCGAAAUAGAUAGUUCCAGCCCAUAACAUAUUAAACCUACCAAACAGAAAGGUCAAAAAAAGAUUAAAAAAGCUCAACCCAAAUCUCAUCACACCUAGACUAACCGUUAGCUCCAUAAUAAUCAACUACCAAGAUUUAAAUUAUUAUUACUUGAAAACGUGGCCAUCCUCUUAAUUGACAUGUGGCUAAAUGAGAAAGCCCCAAAGUAUGUAAUUGUUACGAGCUGGAACUCCCAUCGAGCUCGUGACAACCGCCGUGACGUCCCGAUAGACAUUCAUUAUCCGGAAUGUUAAUCGAAACCUCGCAAGGCUUAACAUCAGUUUUUCUCACUUCCCCUAUGAGUAUUAGUCACUAAAAUUGUGUUUUGAGAUAUUAUAAACUAUUUCCAAUUCAAAACAAUAGAAAAAUAAUUUUUUCUCACAAGGGCAUUUUGGUCAUUUUUCCUCAAAAAUCUCGAAAUCCGCUAAAAAUGUAGUAUGCGAGUACAAAACACAUAAUUCAUAAUAAAAAAUAAGUUUAAACAUCUAAAACCUUCACUUAAAAUGAAAUUAUGAUUAUUUAGAUAUAAUAAAAAAAUAAAAGAAAUAUUCAAUAAAAUAUUCUAUUUUCUUAUAAAAUAAUAUUUUUAAAGUUAUACGUAAAUAAAUUUUUUUGUAGUAGCGUAAAAGCAAAAUAAAUUCAUGCAUACUGUAAUACAGUAAGCCAGAGUAUUUAACUUAAUUUACAAUAACCAGUGGGCCCUCGAAUAACUAAAAGAAAGGAAGACUGUGAACCUACAGUUUGGAGGAUGCAAAUCUAAUGGUAACCUCAAUGAAAUCGGCUAUCUAUAGCCUAUUUUGAGCCUGAAAUGGGUGGAAAUGAGGGUGGUGAGAUUAUAUAAUCCCAGUGAGUAAACAAAUACCAUCUAAAAUAUCUAAAGCCGAGUAAAUUGAGACAUAUAAAAUAGUUUAACAUACUAUAAUUCAUCACCUUUCAACUUGUUUCAACCAAAUAAAAUCAAUUCAUAUAAAUCGAGUAAUCAACAUGGCUUAUGAAUUUCUUAAAACUUUGACUCGUGCCAAAAUCAUACCCAGUUAUUAGGGAUACCCUGAUCGAGGGUUAUCCCAACCGAGUCCGCCAAGGCUGUUAAAAAGUUAUGUACGCAUAAAUCAUGUUUUUAUUUUCAAAACAUAGUCGUUCCUUGGCGUUAGCUGAGUUCACCCUCACGUGGUGGUUUGACGUGAAGUGAACUCUAAAGUUAUACCUCGGGAGUUACCCUACUCGCCUCUCCAAUCGAGGUAAAAUAUAGCAGGAUUCCGUGCCCCUCUAAUAAGCUGAUCCACAGAAAACCCGCCCACUGCAGCAAGUUAAACCCACCAUAUAAUAAAAUUUGCAAUAGCAUGACAUGGUAAUUAUUUUAUUUUAUUUUAUUUUACAGCCUUUCAAGGCAAAUCAACAAUUUAUACAUUUCCAACACAUUUAUCAAAUCAACCAUUCAUGCCAAUAUUGCCAUAAGCCAAUCAAUUAGAAUCAUGAAUUUACAACACACAAAAACAGUCUCCAAUUACUCUAUUUUCAAACCAUCAUUCAAUUUUAAAACAAUUUUAUAAAAUCAUUUUCAUUAAAUCACAUUUUGUUUAUAAAACCAAAAAAUUAAUCAAUUAAUUCAUUUUCCAUAAAAUUCACAAAAUCAAAUAAAAACAUACUUUAGAUAAUUAAGAUGAUGAUAAGGUUACUCACUAUUUCGGGGUCGAAUUCCAAGUACUCCGAUUCUUUAUUCUCGGGUACUAUCUCUUUACUUUUGCCAGAAUUAUCACCAU
rnacentral:lncRNA from 1 species